GUUGGAGCUUUAGCUAUAUGCUGAAACUUGAAUGGUUGUGCUUGAAGAUAGAAUUUGCAAUUCUAUGUCUCUUGCAAUCCAUAUGAUAAAUCAACUAGCUAGGCAAAUGAUAUGUGGUUUAUUAUCUACUAUAAUACUUGUGCUUUUAUAUUUUCAUUAUAAGAUGAAAAACCCCAUGUGUAUAUUUCAUCGACUGUUCUUCAAUUUUGAUAUGGCAAUUUCGUAUUUCAAUUAGCAUUAAUAUAUCGUUAGCAUUCUGC
rnacentral:misc_RNA from 1 species